rnacentral:misc_RNA from 1 species
CAGGAGUUUCAAGAUGUUCAAGCUGGUGGUCCUCCUCGCCGCGGUAGCUCUGGCCGCUGCCAUGCCCGGCUUCCUCGGCGGCGGUGGAUACGGUGGAGGUGGAUACGGUGGAGGUGGAUUCAGCGGUGGAUACGGAGGUGGAUUCAGCGGUGGAUACGGAGGUGGAUUCAGUGGUGGAUACGGAGGUGGAUUCAGUGGUGGAUUCGGUGGACACGGUGGAGGUUACGGACGUUAACGACGUGACUCUACAUACAGAAGUGUCAAAGGGGCACGCCAUGCUUCGUCUUAUAUAUAUGAUUCAUCAGACUGUUUGUCCUCGAAGAAUAUCUCCUAUAUUUCUAGUAACACGUCGACUAUUACGAUUUCGUAAAAAGGAAAAGAAAAAAAAAUGUUGAAAUAAUAAAUGUCAUAAUGAAUUAGAUAUUCGGUUGAAAUUUUACGAGUGGAAGAACAACGAGUCACCAAGAGGGAGUUUCAUUGGUUAAUUCUGGCUGUUAGGGUGAUACUCCACACUCGAUUCUGGUUAAGAAACACUUAAUUUUAUGAAA